GACGAACCGUGCGAACGUUGUUCGGAAUCACUGGGCUUAAAGGGCGCGUAGGCGGCUCAGUAAGGUUGCGGUGAAAGCCCGGGGCUCAACCCCGGGUCGGCCGUGGCAACUGCUGGGCUGGAGCACUGUAGAGGCAGGUGGAAUUCCGGGGUGUAGCGGUGGAAUGCGUAGAGAUCCGGAAGAACACCGGUGGCGAAGGCGGCCUGCUGG
rnacentral:rRNA from 1 species